CGUCCCCUCGUUUUGAGGCCAUGAACACUGCUUCAAAUUCCCAACAAUCAUGAAACAUGCGCUCUGUGACUUCAUUCCGCAUUCGUUUUUCUUCCUCCUCAUCACGCCCCCUUUCUCUCUCUGCAGAGAAAACCCCCUCUUCGAUGAGCUUUUCAAUUCCACUCCAGAAUUCAGUUCCUCAAGAUCCCAAGCUUUCGAGAUUACUAUUGUGGUAGAAUCCAAGCUCCAACAAUCAAGUUCCUACUAUAAUUGCUAUAUAUACUUCUGGGUGCUAUAACUUUAGGAAGUCCUGUGAAGUUGUCCCCUCCAAUCCGGGAUUGGGUUGAAUUGGAUUCAUGUUUAACUAUAUUAUUUCUUAUGCCCGUUUCGCGAUUGGGCCUCUCAGACUUUCACUUCAGCUAUUAGAUGUUUUUACAGUCUGCUUCUGCUAGCUUUGACUUCUCGCAGAUAUUUCCUUACGUUUGCCCAUGUAGUAACUUGGGUGCGAUUAACGGUUCAAGGAACCAGAGUUUUCUCACCUUUCCUAUGUCUAGAAGAAGAAGGAAAGGAUUGAUUGCCAAUUCGGGGUAUCGCAAAUUUCGAAGGAAAUGGGGAUUUCUCUUGUGCGCAAUGCCUACAGAUGGUUCUAACCGAAACUGGAAUGCUGAAUUCGCAAAUUCUACUGGACGGGUUGCAAAAACUUUCGUGUUGAAACGGAUUUCUAAUGAAUUGGAGGGGGAUGAAUUGUCCCAAGAAUCGCCGAUUCAGUUGAGCUCGAACUUUACCAAUUUCCGAGAAGACCCUAUUGUAGAUAAGCUAAGAACCCAGCUGGGAGUGAUACAUCCAAUACCAUCGCCACCAAUUAACCGCAACGUGGUUGGUUUGUUUGUAUUCUUUUUCUUUGUUGGGGUUGCUUUUGAUAAGCUGUGGACCUCAAGGAGGAGAAGCAAGGUUGGUAGCGUAGACACUCGUCGUGGUGUGUGGCCACAGGUGCCCACCAGCUUUUCACUGUUUCUAGAGAAGGAUUUGCAGAGAAAAGAGUCAGUUGAAUGGGUGAACAUGGUGCUGGUGAAGUUAUGGAAAGUUUACAGAGCUGGGAUUGAAAAUUGGAUCAUUGGGUUGCUUCAGCCUGUUAUCGACAACUUAAAGAAGCCUGACUAUGUGGAAAGGGUUGAGAUAAAGCAAUUCUCGCUGGGGGAUGAGCCAUUGUCAGUUAGAAAUGUGGAGCGAAGGACUUCUCGCCGGGCAAAUGAUUUGCAGUACCAAAUAGGCCUUAGGUAUACUGGUGGUGCUCGCAUGCUGCUGAUGCUUUCACUAAAAUUUGGCAUUAUUCCAAUUGUUGUGCCUGUUGGUGUUCGAGAUUUUGACAUUGAUGGCGAACUAUGGGUAAAAUUGCGAUUAAUCCCAACAGAGCCUUGGGUGGGAGCUGCUUCAUGGGCUUUUGUUUCACUUCCAAAGAUCAAGUUUGAAUUGUCACCGUUCCGUUUAUUCAAUUUAAUGGCAAUUCCGGUUCUCUCGAUGUUUUUGACAAAACUCCUCACUGAAGAUUUACCUCGGUUAUUUGUACGUCCAAAGAAAAUUGUUUUGGAUUUCCAGAAGGGAAAAGCUGUUGGUCCUGUUGCUGCUGAUUUAAAAUCUAGAGAAUUGCAAGAUGGAAACAAGGAUUUUGUUGGUGAACUGUCCGUCACUCUUGUUGAUGCUAGAAAGCUUUCUUAUUUUUUCUAUGGAAAGACAGAUCCGUAUGUUAUUCUUACCCUUGGAGAUCAAACUAUUCGCAGCAAAAAGAACAGUCAAACUACGGUGUUUGGUCCCCCUGGUAUGCCAAUAUGGAACCAGGAUUUUCAUUUGCUGGUUAGUAACCCUAAAAAGCAGAAGUUACACAUUCAAGUAAAGGAUUCAUUGGGAUUUAUAGAUUUGACUGCAGGAACAGGGGAGGUUGAUCUAGGAUCUCUCCAAGACACUGUACCAACAGACCGGGUUGUGGUUUUGCAAGGUGGUUGGGGGUUUUUGGGAAAGGGCUCUUCUGGGGAGCUAUUGCUACGGCUAACUUAUAAAGCAUAUGUGGAGGAUGAGGAAGAUGACAAGACCGACUCCAUUGAUACAGAUGCUUCAGAUGAUGAGUUGUCUGAUUCAGAGGAAUCAAGUCUUACUAAUGAAAAGGGUGAAAGAGAUGCUAUGAGUGAAAGAGAGUCAUUUAUGGAUGUUUUGGCAGCAUUAAUUGUUAGUGAAGAAUUCCAAGGUAUAGUGGCAUCUGAAACAGGGUAUGCCAAAACUUUAGAUGACAGCUUAACUACAGGGUCUAAUGUUUCACGGUCCAAUCUUAAUGUGGAACCAAACCCUUCAAAUUCUGAUAGUUCUAAAGGUUCUACAGUUGCAGGGUCAGCCUUAUUCUGGCUCGCUGUGAUCACUAGCAUAUCAAUCCUAAUUGCUGUCAAUAUUGGAGGUUCAAGUAUUUUCAAUCCUUAACGCGGUGUUGUGCUGCUUCCACGACAUAGAUCUGUUCUGUAUGAAGGUCGGCAUUAGAUUAUAAUCUCUUCGUCAUUGUUGAUCAACCAAGUCAGUAUUUUACGUAGUUAUAUUUGUUCUAUAGCUCUGAUGGAGAGUGGCUUAUAGUGCGGUUGCUGUUAGAAGGAAUAAAGCAACAGAUCAGACGGCUUCUCUUCUCAACUGCCCAAGACUUUGUCGAUCAUCUAUGCAUAUCCCAGCGGACAAUGAAAAUUUUUUUGAAGUUAAUGAUACUGCCAGGUUUGGGGAGUCAACCCAUGGUUAGGUCUUCCAGUUUAAUUUUAUCAGAAACUUCGGAUAAUUGAACUCAUAAUCGUGUAUUUUUUUGAAAAAGAAAUUUAAAUUUUGAAAAUUGUGCUGUUCAAUGUUAAUAUAAAUGAGUUAUAUUA